CCUGAUGCAGCGACGCCGCGUGAGGGAUGACGGCCUUCGGGUUGUAAACCUCUUUCAGUAGGGAAGAAGCGAAAGUGACGGUACCUGCAGAAGAAGCGCCGGCUAACUACGUGCCAGCAGCCGCGGUAAUACGUAGGGCGCAAGCGUUAUCCGGAAUUAUUGGGCGUAAAGAGCUCGUAGGCGGUUUGUCGCGUCUGCCGUGAAAGUCCGGGGCUCAACUCCGGAUCUGCGGUGGGUACGGGCAGACUAGAGUGAUGUAGGGGAGACUGGAAUUCCUGGUGUAGCGGUGAAAUGCGCAGAUAUCAGGAGGAACACCGAUGGCGAAGGCAGGUCUCUGGGCAUUAACUGACGCUGAGGAGCGAAAGCAUGGGGAGCGAACAGGAUUAGAUACCCUGGUAGUCCAUGCCGUAAACGUUGGGCACUAGGUGUGGGGGACAUUCCACGUUUUCCGUACCGUAGCUAACGCAUUAAGUGCCCCGCCUGGGGAGUACGGCCGCAAGGCUAAAACUCAAAGGAAUUGACGGGGGCCCGCACAAGCGGCGGAGCAUGCGGAUUAAUUCGAUGCAACGCGAAGAACCUUACCAAGGCUUGACAUGAACCGGAAACACCUGGAAACAGGUGCCCCGCUUGCGG
rnacentral:rRNA from 1 species